rnacentral:rRNA from 1 species
GACGAACGCUGGCGGCGCGCUUAACACAUGCAAGUCGAGCGAGAACCAGGGCUUCGGCCCUGGGGAAAGCGGCGAACGGGUGAGUAACACGUGAGUCAUCCACCCUCGGCACCGGGAUAGCCCGGGGAAACCCGGAUUAAUACCGGAUGGUCCGUCUGCCCUUCGGGGCGGCCGGAAAAGGUAGCUUCGGCCUCCGGCCGAGGACGAGCUCGCGGCGGAUUAGCUUGUUGGCGGGGUAACGGCCCACCAAGGCGACGAUCCGUAGCUGGUCUGAGAGGACGAUCCGCCACACUGGGCCUGAGACACGGCCCAGACUCCUACGGGAGGCAGCAGUGGGGAAUCUUGCGCAAUGGGCGAAAGCCUGACGCAGCGACGCCGCGUGCGGGAAGAAGGCCUUCGGGUUGUAAACCGCUUUCAGGAGGGACGAAGCCACUCGGGUGAAUAGCCCAGAGGGUGACGGUACCUCCAGAAGAAGCCCCGGCUAACUACGUGCCAGCCGCCGCAGUAACAC